GACGAACGCUGGCGGCGUGCUUAACACAUGCAAGUCGAACGGAAAGGCCCUGCUUUUGUGGGGUGCUCGAGUGGCGAACGGGGGAGUAACACGUGAGUAACCUGCCCUUGACUUUGGGAUAACUUCAGGAAACUGGGGCUAAUACCGGAUAGGAGCUCCUGCUGCAUGGUGGGGGUAGGAAAGUUUCGGCGGUUGGGGAUGGACUCGCGGCUUAUCAGCUUGUUGGUGGGGUAGUGGCUUACCAAGGCUUUGACGGGUAGCCGGCCUGAGAGGGUGACCGGCCACAUUGGGACUGAGAUACGGCCCAGACUCCUACGGGAGGCAGCAGUGGGGAAUAUUGCACAAUGGGCGGAAGCCUGAUGCAGCAACGCCGCGUGCGGGAUGACGGCCUUCGGGUUGUAAACCGCUUUCGCCUGUGACGAAGCGUGAGUGACGGUAAUGGGUAAAGAAGCACCGGCUAACUACGUG
rnacentral:rRNA from 1 species